rnacentral:rRNA from 1 species
GAUGAACGCUAGCGAUAGGCUUAACACAUGCAAGUCGAGGGGCAGCAUGGUCUUAGCUUGCUCAGACUGAUGGCGACCGGCGCACGGGUGCGUAACGCGUAUGCAACUUGCCUCACAGAGGGGGAUAACCCGUCGAAAGACGGACUAAUACCGCGUACACUCUAUUUUGGGCAUCCAAGGUAGAGGAAAUGAAAUUCGCUGUGAGAUAGGCAUGCGUCCCAUUAGCUAGUUGGUGAGGUAACGGCUCACCAAGGCGACGAUGGGUAGGGGAACUGAGAGGUUGAACCCCCACACUGGUACUGAGACACGGACCAGACUCCUACGGGAGGCAGCAGUGAGGAAUAUUGGUCAAUGGGCGAGAGCCUGAACCAGCCAAGUCGCGUGAAGGAUGACUGUCUUAUGGAUUGUAAACUUCUUUUGUAGGGGAAUAAAGAGGGGCACGUGUGCCCCAGUGAAUGUACCCUACGAAUAAGCAUCGGCUAACUCCGUG